rnacentral:rRNA from 1 species
GAUGAACGCUAGCGGCAGGCCUAACACAUGCAAGUCGAGGGGCAGCAUAGGGUAGCAAUACUCUGAUGGCGACCGGCAAACGGGUGAGUAACGCGUAUGCAACCUACCCUGUACAGGGGGAUAACCCGGAGAAAUUCGGACUAAUAUCCCGUAAUAAUAUCCGGAGGCAUCUUUGGAUAUUUAAAGUUCCGACGGUACGGGAUGGGCAUGCGUAACAUUAACUGGUUGGUAAGGUAACGGCUUACCAAGGCUAUGAUGUUUAGGGGUCCUGAGAGGGUGGUCCCCCACACUGGUACUGAGACACGGACCAGACUCCUACGGGAGGCAGCAGUGAGGAAUAUUGGUCAAUGGGCGCAAGCCUGAACCAGCCAUCCCGCGUGCAGGAAGACGGCCCUAUGGGCUGUAAACUGCUUUUCCAGGGAGAGAAACUUACGCACGUGUUGCGUGACUGACGGUACCCUGGGAAUAAGCAUCGGCUAACUCCGUG